ACUCUGCUUUCUUCUAGAUUCAAGCACUUCAGAAUGCAUAUGAUGAGCUUUGUCAGAAAGAAGGUCUUACAGCCCUGCCUUAUUUUUUAAUCAAGUAUCAUGAUGAUUUUGUUUUUGUAUCCUUGCUUAAAAACUGGGAAGACUUUUUCCCUGACCAAAGGGAGAAGGUUACAUUUGGCAUUUAUGACCCCUGUAAUUUUGCCCAAUAUCCAGGAUGGCCUCUACGAAAUCUGUUAGUUCUGGCAGCAUACAGAUGGGGCAAAUGCCUCCAUUUAGUUGAAGUGGUCUGCUUCAGAGACAGAACUAUGCAGGGUGCCAGAGACAUUUCACACAGCACCAUUUUUGAAAUAAAGCUUCCACAGGUGAUCCUGAGUUCAGCGGAUUGCCCAAAAGCUGUUGGAUGGGAGAAAAAUCAAAAGGGAGGCAUGGGACCAAGAAUGGUCAAUCUAAGCGAAUGUAUGGACCCUAAAAGGU